CCUACGGGGGGCAGCAGUGGGGAAUAUUGCACAAUGGGCGAAACCCUGAUGCAGCGACGCCGCGUGAGUGAAGAAGUAUCUCGGUACGUAAAGCUCUAUCAGCAGGGAAGAAAAUGACGGUACGUGACUAAGAAGCCCCGGAUAACUACGUGCCAGCAGCCGCGGGAAUACGUAGGGGGCAAGCGUUAUCCGGAUUGACUGGGUGUAAAGGGAGCGUAGACGGGAGAACAAGUAUGGAGUGAAAUCCCGGGGCUUAACCCCGGAACUGCUUUUUAAACUGUUCGGUUGGAGUGCAGGAGAGGUAAGCGGAAUUCCUAGUGUAGCGGUGAAAUGCGUAGAUAUUAGGAAGAACACCGGUGGCGAAGGCGGCUUACUGGACUGUAACUGACGUUGAGGCUCGAAAGCGUGGGGAGCGAACAGGAUUAGAUACCCUAGUAGUC
rnacentral:rRNA from 1 species